rnacentral:rRNA from 1 species
CCUACGGGAGGCAGCAGUAGGGAAUCUUCCACAAUGGGCGAAAGCCUGAUGGAGCAACGCCGCGUGGGUGAAGAAGGUCUUCGGAUCGUAAAACCCUGUUGUUAGAGAAGAAAGUGCGUGAGAGUAACUGUUCACGUUUCGACGGUAUCUAACCAGAAAGCCACGGCUAACUACGUGCCAGCAGCCGCGGCAAUACGUAGGUGGCAAGCGUUAUCCGGAUUUAUUGGGCGUAAAGGUAACUCAGGUGGUCUUUUAAGUCUGAUGUGAAAGCCUUCGGCUUAACCGGAGUAGUGCAUUGGAUACUGGGAGACUUGAGUGCAGAAGAGGUGAGUGGAACUCCAUGUGUAGCGGUGAAAUGCGUAGAUAUAUGGAAGAACACCAGUGGCGAAGGCGGCUCUCUGGACUGUAACUGACGCUGAGGUUCGAAAGCGUGGGUAGCAAACAGGAUUAGAUACCCGAGUAGUC